CCCCGUCCCAAUGUAAGCGCCAUCACUGAAGGUUUAUUUCAAAAGCUGGGUAAGAAGGGUGCGCACCACAGCUGUUUCAGCUAAGCCUAAACAUGACAUCGAAAUAAACCAUUCUGCCUACUAGCCUGCUGCCCAACGAUUGGUCCAUGCGAAAAGCCUGUUAACCGCUAUGUAAACAUUGUCGCCAAUACACAUAUCACACAUUAUCGCAAUACCCAUUCAGCCAAAGGGUUAAUGCAUUGGCAUCGUUCAAACAUCAGCGCGCUUCUGUACACGUGCUCGAAUUAGAUACGAUGGUUUUCAUUGGCUCAUAAGUUGUGUCACAUGACCAUUCACCCGGCUUGAAAAUAUCAUGAAAUUUGGACCAAAAUUAACGAAACAGUGGCGAUUUCCAUGUUUUUUAUCGAUUUUUCGACAAGUUACAGAUUUCGGAAUUCUUCAAGACUAGAUAGCCGGGUAGGCAUAAUAUCAUAUAUCAUAAAUACCCCGGCUGUUUUGCAUAACUCAUUUCAGUUUCGUACAGAAUCGUGCGUUUAUUCUGAAAUUUCUCAAACUUUGAUCUGCUCAAAUUCAAAAUGGCCGACUUGCAGACGGAGAUUGAGAUGGGGUGCCAAGUUCAUCGUACAACAUCGAAUUCCCUUGAUCGUUAUUUAGCAAAACGAGUUACUUCCAGUAUUCAUUUAAAUCUUUACUUUUAAAAUAUAUAUCUAUUUUAUGUUAGUUUGCUGUCUAUUCAUGCAGAAAAUGCAUUUGAAAAACAAAUGUCUAAAAAUAGUUGAGUUUUGAAGUUCGAUGGUCGGGUCUAUUUUGGUGAAAGGGGUACAGCAUGGGUAAUAGUACAAUAAUAAGUCAUGAUCGUGCUUAUGAACAAGCCAUGAGUUAGCAUAUACCAUAGUUUAUGUUGAAAAUAUCUUUACAGAUGUAAUUGAUAAAUAUAGUCUUAAAAAUUCGCCAAAUAUAGAAAAGUUCUUGGUAUAUUAUCCACCUGUUAGCAAAAUGAACUCGCCCAUUGACCCACAUUCCAGUUUGUUGUGGUAUUUUUGUACAGGGUGAUGCCAAAACAGUGCCUUUUGUUGACUGGUAAACAUUCCUUCAGUUACUAAAAUGCCUUUUUCUUUAAUUUCAGCUGGUUGCAUGGUGUGUACUGCAGAUAACUUCUCGACUUAAUCCGGCUGAUGUGAUGCUUUAGUUGAUUCGAGAGGCUACAUGUAUGUAGGCCCAGUACGUCGACAUCAUUGAUCCGGCAGUGAACAAGAUAAGUGGUUCAGCCUCCAAGAUGUGUCACCAGAAAUGCAACCGACAUUAUAGACAGGCGUGAUUACUACUCUGAUUUUGGACUGAUGGUAUACUCGUCUUCAAAAUGGACCUGACUAGGAAUGAUGAUGGUGACUUCCCUCCUCAGAAAAAAGCUCGGUUGGAUUCGAAAGUUGGUGCAGGCGGUCAUUAGCGAUAUUUCGGUCGUAAACGCAAGAAGUCCAAGAAAUCCACUGACAAAUCAGGAAAACGUAUAUUCAAUGUCGGCGACACGUGUUUGUUCAGAUUGGACUCAAACGUUUAUCUUGGAACCGUUCUUAGUCAAGUUGAUGAACAUCAUUUCCAAAUUGAGGACUAUACAGGAACAGUGCGCACCUUCAUUUGUCUGUCACUUUGAUUAAAAGAAAGUUAAAGUUGAAACUUCUAUAGCAAGGAAUAUGAAGAUGUGAACUUUGUAUUAUUAUUUUUUGAAUGUAUGAGUCUAUUGAAUGUAAAUUAAAUGCAUAUUGUGAAUAAUUAAUAAUAAUA